UCUAGAACUACUCUAUCCCUGCCUGAUCUUUAAGUGAGGGGACAUAUGGCCUGGGGGCUCUGACUGAAGAAAGGAAUGCAGCACUCAUGAUCCUGUUGAAUAGAGAUGACUUCACAUCUAUCCUUGGAGGUUGGAUUCCUUUAUAGUCACGUAUUUCUGGAUCCACCAACUAGGCCUGUCUGCAGCAGCAAUGGAGGUCACAAGUUGUCCUGUGGUUUCUCACACAGGUAAUGACUAAGUCUGUCCUCUCUCUUAUCAACACAUUCAACCACCCUCUUCAUAUCUGUCCAAAAGAGGUAACGAAGGAGAGCAAGUAAAACAUUCAAUAGUGGAGACCAGAGAGAGAGAGAAAGGUUAACAGGAAGAGGGAAGGAAAGGAAUACAGAGAGGAACAGACAAAACAAACCAGGAUCUCAGAAUGAGCUGAAGAUCAGUGUCCCAAGUGUGACAGGGUAAACUCCCAAGAAGGUCCAUUGAGAGCCUCAAACCAUGUGUCUCCUGGGAAGUGACCUGAGCAGAAGAAAGAGCCCAGAUAAAAGAAGGGGAAGAGAAACACAGAAGAGCUCCUCACAGGACCACAUCAUGGGAGCUGAGCUUCCUCAGAGCCUUGCUGCUUCUAAGAUCGAGGGAAUAUCUUGCCUUCCAGCCCAUGGAGGAAGGCCCAGCAAUGACAGAGCCCUAUGAGAAAAGAGUGCCAGGUGAGAUGCCACAGGCUCACGCUGAGAUACUUGAUCUGAGCCCCAAUCUCCGCCUGUCCCUAGUCUCUCUCCAUCCACAGCCCCACCUCAUCCCCAGUCCCACCGCUCUCUGAGCUCACUUCCUUUUGUUCCUGCAUCCCCAUGCACAAAGGACAUCUGGUCACCCUCCUCUGCACAGCAGCGCCCUUUUAUUCUUGAGAAUUGCUCUCUUUCACCAGAGAAAAUCACUUCCCUCCUCCUCUUCCUCAUCAUCACGGUUUUCCCAAGCAGGGCAGCACUGGCUCAACCCAGACAACUCACUUUUCAAAUUGCCCCUUUCCCUCAGUGGGAAAUGACUCUCCAAUGGGCCCACUCAUUUACUGGCCUCUCAUUAGGGAAAUAGGCAUGGAGAUUUAGCUAAAGUCUACAUUUUAAUGCCAAUCCCUGCUA
rnacentral:lncRNA from 1 species